rnacentral:rRNA from 1 species
AGUGAACGCUGGCGGUAGGCCUAACACAUGCAAGUCGAACGGCAGCACAGUAAGAGCUUGCUCUUACGGGUGGCGAGUGGCGGACGGGUGAGGAAUACAUCGGAAUCUACUUUUUCGUGGGGGAUAACGUAGGGAAACUUACGCUAAUAUCGCAUACGACCUACGGGUGAAAGCAGGGGAUCUUCGCACCUUGCGCGAUUGAAUGAGCCGAUGUCGGAGUAGCUAGUUGGCGGGGUAAAGGCCCACCAAGGCGACGAUCCGUAGCUGGUCUGAGAGGAGGAUCGGCCACAUUGGAGCUGAGACACGGUCAAGACUCCUACGGGAGGCAGCAGUGUGGAAUAUUGGACAAUGGGCGCAAGCCUGAUCCAGCCAUACCGCGUGGGAGAAGAAGGCCUUCGGGUUGUAAAGCCCUUUUGUUGGGAAAGAAAAGCAGCAGGUUAAUACCCCGCUGUUCUGACGGUACCCAAAGAAUAAGCACCGGCUAACUUCGUG